rnacentral:rRNA from 1 species
CUACGGAACUCCUACGGGAGGCAGCAGUGGGGAAUAUUGCACAAUGGGCGAAAGCCUGAUGCAGCGACGCCGCGUGAGGGAUGACGGCCUUCGGGUUGUAAACCUCUUUCAGUAGGGAAGAAGCGAGAGUGACGGUACCUGCAGAAGAAGCGCCGGCUAACUACGUGCCAGCAGCCGCGGUAAUACGUAGGGCGCAAGCGUUGUCCGGAAUUAUUGGGCGUAAAGAGCUUGUAGGUGGUUGGUCACGUCUGCUGUGGAAACGCAACGCUUAACGUUGCGCGUGCAGUGGGUACGGGCUGACUAGAGUGCAGUAGGGGAGUCUGGAAUUCCUGGUGUAGCGGUGAAAUGCGCAGAUAUCAGGAGGAACACCGGUGGCGAAGGCGGGACUCUGGGCUGUAACUGACACUGAGGAGCGAAAGCAUGAGGAGCGAACAGGAUUAGAUACCCGAGUAGUCCUCUUCGA